GAUGAACGCUGGCGGCGUGCCUAAUACAUGCAAGUAGAACGCUGAAGGAGGAGCUUGCUUCUCUGGAUGAGUUGCGAACGGGUGAGUAACGCGUAGGUAACCUGCCUGGUAGCGGGGGAUAACUAUUGGAAACGAUAGCUAAUACCGCAUAAGAGCAGUUGUUGCAUGACAGCUGUUUAAAAGGUGCAAUUGCACCACUACCAGAUGGACCUGCGUUGUAUUAGCUAGUUGGUGAGGUAACGGCUCACCAAGGCGACGAUACAUAGCCGACCUGAGAGGGUGAUCGGCCACACUGGGACUGAGACACGGCCCAGACUCCUACGGGAGGCAGCAGUAGGGAAUCUUCGGCAAUGGGGGCAACCCUGACCGAGCAACGCCGCGUGAGUGAAAAAGGUUUUCGGAUCGUAAAGCUCUGUUGUAAGAGAAGAACGAGUGUGAGAGUGGAAAGUUCACACUGUGACGGUAUCUUACCAGAAAGGGACGGCUAACUACGUGCCAGCAGCCGCGGUAAUACGUAGGUCCCGAGCGUUAUCCGGAUUUAUUGGGCGUAAAGCGAGCGCAGGCGGUUAGAUAAGUCUGAAGUUAAAGGCUGUGGCUUAACCAUAGUACGCUUUGGAAACUGUUUAACUUGAGUGCAAGAGGGGAGAGUGGAAUUCCAUGUGUAGCGGUGAAAUGCGUAGAUAUAUGGAGGAACACCGGUGGCGAAAGCGGCUCUCUGGCUUGUAACUGACGCUGAGGCUCGAAAGCGUGGGGAGCAAACAGG
rnacentral:rRNA from 1 species